rnacentral:rRNA from 12 species
GAUGUUGGCAGAAGGCCUUCAAACGACCCGUCUUGAAACACGGACCAAGGAGUCUAACAUGCCCGCGAGUGUUUGGGUGGAAAACCCAUGCGCGUAAUGAAAGUGAAAGUUGGGAAGGCUGUCGCGGCCUGCACCGACGCCCGGACUCGAGAUUUAUCUAAGGUUCUGCGGUAGAGCGUGUAUGUUGGGACCCGAAAGAUGGUGAACUAUGCCUGAAUAGGGUGAAGCCAGAGGAAACUCUGGUGGAGGCUCGUAGCGAUUCUGACGUGCAAAUCGAUCGUCAAAUUUGGGUAUAGGGGCGAAAGACUAAUCGAACCAUCU